rnacentral:lncRNA from 1 species
UGUGGGCUCGGCGGUCCUGCGGGCCUCUCCGGCGCGGGGGAGUCCUGGGAAGACGCGCGAGCCACAACUUCAGGGGGCGUGGCGGGAACGGGAGCCCCUACCGAAUGGGGUGGCAGAAGAACGAAGGCGACACCAAGCUGGCCCCUUGCGGGGGUCGGGACGGCGGGAGACCUCAUCCGGAGCCCUGGGCCCGCAGAGCCAGGAGACCGCGCCAAAAUACAUCAGGGAAGAGGGGAGGACGGAAUAAUGGGCCUGGGGACAAAGGAACCCACUGAAAGGGAACCCACUGAGGGUACGGAUUGCACCCGAGCCUGAGACAGCUGAAGGUUUGCAGUCGGUGACGUGGCGAGGUGGGCAAGGGACUCCAACUCCCAGCGGGCCCCGCGCGGCCUGGGCGGGGCCAGCUGUCCCUGGAGGCUCCGCCCAUUAGCCCCGGCGCCCAGGCUCCGCCCGCCGUCCCUGGCGACUCCAAGCUUCUCGCCACUCACGUCGCUCCCCGGCCUUCCGUGGAUUCGCUCAUUCGCUCUGCUAAAAUGGAAUGACUACUUACUAGUAGUUGUAUAAGAUUUUUCCCUCGAUUUUUGUUCCUUAAACGUGGGUAAUACCUAACCCUAGAGUGGUUAUGGGGAUCGAGCCCGAGGGGCUGUGCUUGACUGCUUGGCGCAGUCACUACUCAAAUGUUAGCUUUUCUUUAAAAACAACAACAAAAAUCUGUUAUGAGUACCCUGUCCAGUUCUGUGCUCGGCGACGACCGAAUCAGACCACGUCCCUCACAGGCCCCACGGUCCACUGGGGAGAGACAUAAUCACAGGCUGUGCUAAGUGUUAACUAGCGCACAUCCACAGGGCGAUGGGAUAUGACCAUAGCGAGGUAAAGUUAGCAAGCAAGGGAAGUCAAGAAAACGACCUGUGAGCAACCUGCCAUUCCAGAUGGCUGGAAAAGUGUGCAAAGAGGACAGAACAGCAAAGACAAAUCCUGAAAGUAGAAGGAAUAAAAGGGAGCCAGUGUGGGCGGAGUCGAGUGAAGGUAGAGAGGAGAAAUAGACACAGCUGUAGGAGGUUAGAGACGGAGUCCCUACUUCUGUUUCGGAUGUUGACUAAACAAUGUAGAUAGAUAUUGAUGUCAUAGCCUGGAGAGAGAAAUUCGGGAGUCAUCAGUGUUUGAAUGGAGACUGGAUGAGCUCACAAAGAGACUGGGACACUCAUCCCUUUAGCAGUCACGACAAUGAGAAGCAACCAGCAAAGGACACGGAGGAGUGGCCAGUGAAAUGGCAGAAGAACCCGUAGGCCUGUCCAUGUUUUCCUGCCCAGGGGCUCCCGAGGGCUGACUGGAGCCCAGCCUUAAACCCCAAAUCCAACCUGCAUUGUGGCCAAACGGAGUCAGUGCUCCCUGAACACAAACUGCAAGUUAGUUAUCAACAGGUACCUCCAAUGCCCUGUCAAUCACCCAUGUGAGGACAACCUGGCAGCAGGAAGGAGAAAAAACAGGAGCUGCUUUAAUCUCCCGGAAUCCUCACUUCUCCCCAUUCUUGUUGGUCCAAACCAUCAAGAUCUCUUGCCUGGGUGACGUCUCCUAACUCUUGCUGCCUUCUCUGUCACUACAAUAAUCAAAACCAUCCAAUGGCUUCCCAGUGCCUUUAGAAUUAAAUCCAAACUUGGUACUGUGGCCCCUGCUGCCGCCCCCCAAAAAAUCUCUCUCCCAUCCUUCCUGUUCUCUACCUGUUAAUGCCUUCCCAUCCCUCAGAACCCAUCAGGACACACGUGAGUUUGAAUGCCCUGAAUUGUAUAAGCAUGGAGAGCGGUAUACCAGGGUGUACUCCAGAGUGAGCAAAAUGGGAACUCAUGUCAGAAAGUGAAAUGAAAAUGUAGGCUGAAAUUCUAUCAGUAAUACUGCAACAAAACUCUCUGAAACCAUCUCACUUAACUCGGUCCACCAACUUGAAAGACACUUUCCUUUUCAUCUGUGAAGCCCACUGCUGGGGCUAGCAGGCUACUAUUAUGACUAAGCAAUUCCACUUC